AUUCACGCUGAAUACAUUAGAGCAGAGUAUAUAAGAUUAGUGAAUAUGAAUAAAUUAUCGAAUUGCUCAACUGCAGCGAGGUGAACGGUAAAUGCUUGGUCUGCUCUAAAUUUAUAUCGUUGUUGUACCGUUUCGAUUAAUUUUGUUUAAACUCGUCUACCAUUAUCAUUUUCUUGUUUCUAUGAAUACUGUUUCAUUUAGAUGGCUGUCUAAUAUCUAGUAGCGGUAUAUCUAGUCUAAUAUCUAGUAGCGGUAGCUGAUGUUGUUCCGGGCGAGGAGCCGAUAGCCCAUGUGCUUGGACAGGAGAAGAAACAAGACCACCCGCAAGGCGGCCAAAGGCCUAGGUCGUAAGAAUAACCGAAGGAUUUGGAGGCAAUUCUGGAAAACGUCUUCCCGAGUAACAACGACCCGAUCGGGUAAUUUAGGUUUGGGGAGAAGAAAAGAUUAGAAUAUUAAAGAGGUUGGAUGAGUAUGA